GGGAGCUCAGCCAGUCUGGCAAACAAUCUUCAGAAGAGAGACACAAGGAAAGAACAAAGAAGAUCCAAGUCCACUCAUGGAUUCAGUCCAAAGACGCCAAUGAAAAGCUCAUACAGUCCUUCUGCUGGGACACAUGAACAUCUUCAUCAGAGGCUGAAGCAUCACUGCACACUUGGAGUGAACAGCAGUCAGAGAGUUUGAGACGAGAGAUUAAGGACAAUCAGAAACACUGCAGACAAGACCCACAAUAUAUGCAGCGGACAUGUCUGUUAACUCAACGUCCAACUAUCUCUACAUCUGUCCCACCAUUAAGGUCAGCCUGUACAUAUCCUAUAUCAUUACUGCACUGAGGACCAUCCUCCUCCUCCCUCUCUCCACCUUCAUCCUCUAUCUGGGUCACCAAAGAUGGAAGCAGCAUCAUUCCUCUAAAACAGUGACUCACUCUGACAUCUUCACCUACCAUGUGGCUGCCAUGGAGCUGCUCUGGAUCUUGGGGAGUUUCUUCUUCUAUGGUGGCCUGUACACUAACCAGUUAGUAGUGAUGACUGUAGGGGUGUUUACUUGUUCCAGCACUCUGUUUGGAGAGUUAUACUUUCACGUCUUGACCUGUGUGGAGCGCUACCUGGCUGUGGUUCAUCCCAUCAUCUAUCGGGGGCUGAGAAAUGCUCAUGGGGUCAGAAUCAGAAACAUCUGUAUUGGAUGUGUUUGGCUGCUGAGCUUUGGACUGACCGGGGGUUUGACCAUAAGCUUGCCUAACUACAAUGUGAUCUCAUCUUUGUGCUUUUUGGUUUUCUCCAUAAUCAUCAUAUCAUUCUGCAGCCUCUCAGUUCUCUGUGUUCUGAUUCGUCCAGGUCCAGGGGAAGGGGGCAGGGAAAAGGAGCGAGUUGACCAAUCAAAGCAGAGAGCUUUCUACACCAUCACAGUUAUAUCAGUCACAGUGUGGUUGUGGUUUGUUGGCCUCCUUCUUUCCCUGGCAAUGGAGACAUCACCUCUGUUGAGCCAUCAUCUCGCCUGUGUGUUGCCACUUCUUGUCAUCUGGUUGAACCUUCCCAGCAGUUUGGUGUCUCCUCUGCUGUAUCUGCACAGGGCUGGAAAACUGUCAUGGUGCUUUAGAAACAAGUAGUAAAGCCAAGGAUUGGAUUUAAAUAAAUCAGGCCAGCAAAGUUGGAAAGACUGGAUAAAAGUGAUGAUAAUGUCUAAUGUUCGAAUGGUUGCUAGGUUACAGCUUAUGCACAACUAAGAGAUGGUCAUGAUAUUCUAUGCAGUUAGUUGCUGUGGUGUUUUCUCAGCUUAUCAGAUAGUUGAAUAGCUGCCGGAGCUGCUUGGUUGUUGCCGGGUAAUUGUGAGGUUGAACUAAACUGCGCUGACAGAAUGUAUGAAUGUACAGUCUUGUGAAAAAGAAUUUGUCCAGAAAUCUUCCAUUUUGGCAUAUUUCUCGUACUGACAUGUUUCAGAUCAUCAAAAUAACAUCAUUUGUACUGAAUAUGAUACAGAUACAAUCCACAACCCAUGAUGUUUCAUUCAACCUAAUAAAUGGUUUGGCAGCAACAACUGAAAUUAAAUAUUUGUUCCAGUUUGUGAUCAGCCUUUUACAUCUCAAUGGAGGAAUUCUGGUCCUCUCUUCUCUGCAGAAUAGUUUUAAUUUGGUCACAUUAGAUGGUUUUAGAUCAGGAACUGCCCAUUUAAGGCCUUGCCACAGCAUCUCAGUUGGUCCAGAGUUAGACUCGGCUACUCCAAAACCUUGACUUUGUUCUCUUUCAGCCACUCAGAGGUGGACUUGCUUGUGGUCUUUGGGUCACUAUCUUGCUGCAUAAACCGUUGUGUUGAAGUUCAGGUCAUGAACUGAUGGUGGAUGUUCUCCAGGAGAAUUUUCUAAAAGAGAGCAGAAUUCAUGGCUCCAUCAGUGAUGACAAGUCAUCCUGAUGAAUGCAGUAUGAGCUUUACACUAGAUGGAACAGACCCAUGGCUUUCAAAAAAUUCCACCUUUGACUCAUCAGUCAAUAGAAAGUUAUCCCAAAACUUUUGGAGCUCUUCGAGUUAUGUUUUUGUAAAUACCAAAGGAGCCUUUAUGUUCUCUUUGGUCAGUAGUGGUUUGAUUCUUCCAACUCUCCCAUGGAUCCAUUUCCUCCCAGAGUCUUCCUUAUUGUGGAAUCAUGUAGAUGGACCUUAACUGAGGCCAGUGAGGUCUGCAGAUCUUUAGAUGUUCUUCUGUAUUCUUUUGUGACCUUCUGGAUAUCG
ensembl:lncRNA